rnacentral:rRNA from 1 species
GCCCCGCGGUGCAUUAGCUAGUUGGUAAGGUAAAGGCUUACCAAGGCGAUGAUGCAUAGCCGAGUUGAGAGACUGAUCGGCCACAUUGGGACUGAGAUACGGCCCAGACUCCUACGGGAGGCAGCAGUGGGGAAUAUUGGGCAAUGGGCGCAAGCCUGACCCAGCAACGCCGCGUGAGGGAAGAAGGUCUUCGGAUUGUAAACCUCUGUCGCAAGGGACGAAGAUGUGACGGUACCUUGUGAGGAAGCCCCGGCUAACUACGUGCCAGCAGCCGCGGUAAUACGUAGGGGGCGAGCGUUGUCCGGAAUUACUGGGCGUAAAGGGUGCGUAGGCGGUUGCUUAAGUUGGAUGUGAAAUACCCGGGCUUAACUUGGGGGGUGCAUUCAAAACUGGGCGACUAGAGUUCAGGAGAGGGAAGCGGAAUUCCUAGUGUAGCGGUGAAAUGCGUAGAUAUUAGGAGGAACACCAGUGGCGAAGGCGGCUUUCUGGACUGACACUGACGCUGAGGCACGAAAGCGUGGGGAGCAAACAGGAUUAGAUACCCUGGUAGUCCACGCUGUAAACGAUGAAUACUAGGUGUAGGGGGUAUGAACUCCCUCUGUGCCGUAGCAAACGCAAUAA